rnacentral:rRNA from 1 species
UACGGAGGGUGCGAGCGUUGUCCGGAAUCACUGGGCGUAAAGGGCGCGUAGGUGGCCUCUUAAGUGUGUGGUGAAAGCCCGGGGCUCAACCCCGGGUCGGCCAUGCAAACUGGGGGGCUGGAGCACUGUAGAGGCAGGCGGAAUUCCGGGUGUAGCGGUGGAAUGCGUAGAGAUCCGGAAGAACACCGGUGGCGAAGGCGGCCUGCUGGGCAGUUGCUGACACUGAGGCGCGACAGCCAGGGGAGCAAACGGG